AACAGUUCAGAAUGUGACAUUUAUUGAUCCUGGCUCUCCUGGGGUCAGUCUCUGGAGAUGGAGAUGGAGCAGUGGAUGACUUCACUGUCAUAAACAAACCAAAAGCCCACAAGGCUGUUGGAGGGGAAGAGGUUGAACCGAAUAGCUGGCCUUGGCAGACAAUGGAAACCAAUGGUGGUGCCUUCUAAGUGUUCACAUUCAAACCCUGCUUGUUCUCUGGAGGAAUAAGAACAUAAUAACAUUAAAACAAACACACUUUUAAUCACAACUUUCUUCCCGUUAUAUUUUUUAUGUUUUUAAGGAAAAUGUAACAAUAAUGGAAAACAAGCUUAUCUGGUGUAAAUUAAUACAAAAAGCCCUUUCAAUUCCCUUUUUUUCUCUGUUCAUUUGAACUGGGUUCAACAGUGUG